rnacentral:rRNA from 1 species
CAGUAGCCGCGGGAAUACGUAGGGUGCAAGCGUUAUCCGGAUUUAUUGGGUUUAAAGGGUCCGUAGGCGGACUUAUAAGUCAGUGGUGAAAGCCUGUCGCUUAACGAUAGAACUGCCAUUGAUACUGUAAGUCUUGAGUAUAUUUGAGGUAGCUGGAAUAAGUAGUGUAGCGGUGAAAUGCAUAGAUAUUACUUAGAACACCAAUUGCGAAGGCAGGUUACCAAGAUAUAACUGACGCUGAGGGACGAAAGCGUGGGUAGCGAACAGGAUUAGAUACCCCAGUAGUCCCUGUCUCUUAUAC